rnacentral:misc_RNA from 1 species
CUGAGUUAGGGUCUUCUAUGGCCCAACCUCCAACCCCUUGUAUACUACCAAAUAUUUUGUUGCUUUGGUGGGCCAAUAGUUCCCACCAGAGCUCAACCAAAAAUCCUAGUAAUGAUGUUGUCUGAGUUAUUAAAGUAAUAAUUA